rnacentral:rRNA from 1 species
GAGUUUGAUCAUGGCUCAGGAUGAACGCUGACAGAAUGCUUAACACAUGCAAGUCUACUUGAUCCUUCGGGUGAAGGUGGCGGACGGGUGAGUAACGCGUAAAGAACUUGCCUUACAGACUGGGACAACAUUUGGAAACGAAUGCUAAUACCGGAUAUUAUGAUUGGGUCGCAUGAUCUGAUUAUGAAAGCUAUAUGCGCUGUGAGAGAGCUUUGCGUCCCAUUAGUUAGUUGGUGAGGUAACGGCUCACCAAGACGAUGAUGGGUAGCCGGCCUGAGAGGGUGAACGGCCACAAGGGGACUGAGACACGGCCCUUACUCCUACGGGAGGCAGCAGUGGGGAAUAUUGGACAAUGGACCAAAAGUCUGAUCCAGCAAUUCUGUGUGCACGAUGAAGUUUUUCGGAAUGUAAAGUGCUUUCAGUUGGGAAGAAGUCAGUGACGGUACCAACAGAAGAAGCGACGGCUAAAUACGUGCCAGCAGCCGCGGUAAUACGUAUGUCGCAAGCGUUAUCCGGAUUUAUUGGGCGUAAAGCGCGUCUAGGCGGCUUAGUAAGUCUGAUGUGAAAAUGCGGGGCUCAACCCCGUAUUGCGUUGGAAACUGCUAAACUAGAGUACUGGAGAGGUAGGCGGAACUACAAGUGUAGAGGUGAAAUUCGUAGAUAUUUGUAGGAAUGCCGAUGGGGAAGCCAGCCUACUGGACAGAUACUGACGCUAAAGCGCGAAAGCGUGGGUAGCAAACAGGAUUAGAUACCCUGGUAGUCCACGCCGUAAACGAUGAUUACUAGGUGUUGGGGGUCGAACCUCAGCGCCCAAGCUAACGCGAUAAGUAAUCCGCCUGGGGAGUACGUACGCAAGUAUGAAACUCAAAGGAAUUGACGGGGACCCGCACAAGCGGUGGAGCAUGUGGUUUAAUUCGACGCAACGCGAGGAACCUUACCAGCGUUUGACA